rnacentral:misc_RNA from 1 species
CAGUCGUAACAAGGUUUCCGUAGGUGAACCUUGCGGAAGGAUCAUUAUUGAAUUAUUGUUUUCUUAGAUGGGUUGUAGCUGGCUCUUUGGAGUAUGUGCAUCGCCUGUCUGGAACUUCAUUUUCAUCCACCUGUGACACCUUUUGUAGUCUUUUUCAUGGUAAUUGGUAGGAAGUGGUCAGCCUAUCAGCUCUUUUGCUUGGAUGUAAGGACUUGCAGUGUGAAAACAGUGUUGUUCCUUUACCGUUGGCCAUGGAAUCAUUUUUUCCUGUUAGAGUCUAUGUUAUUCAUUAUACUCUUAGAAUGUCAUUGAAUGUCUUUACAUGGGCUAUGCCUAUGAAAAUUAUUAUACAA